GGUAGCUUUUCUGACUCUUAAAGAGAUCUCAAGUAUACCUUCAGAGAAAUGCCAGCAAAAACUGUAGUCAUUUGGGAAGGAAUAAGCCUGGAAGAAAAAGAUACAACGAACUAGCACAACGAGGAGUUUGAAAAGUUCAUGACAGCUCACAGCUGAUGAUGGUGGCAAUCUUAAGGAUACAGAAAGCUCAUUCCUCAUGCAGGGAAGAAGAAAAUAUUCUAAAGAAGAGAUAAGCAUAUUCCAUGAAAUCAAAAAAGCGUAAAACGCUGGAGGAGAAGUCAGUAGCAAGCAGCUAAGACAACAUGGUACAUGUGGGUCCAAUGUGAAAAACACUAAGUGGGAUGGUUAAUUGUAUGUGUUCCCUUGGCUGGACCAUGAUGACAGAUAUUUGGUCAAACAUUAUUCUGGAUGUUUCUGUAAAGGAGUUUUUGGGCUAGAAGCCCACCAACUGCUAACAACCAGCUGGAGGGUAAGUCAAAAGCUAUGAGAGCCCAGAAGGAGAACAAUUAUUUAGACCUGGAGGGGCCAGUUGGGAAAGUCUUUGAAGGGUCUUCAGAAAAUGGACCAAAAGAAAAGAGGAAAAGUCAUUCUACUGAGAGGUGUUUGUGUAAUCAAAGCAACCGAGGCCUAAGAACUCACAAAAGAUUAGAAAAGGGUAAAGGAUGCCUGGAAAGCCGGACUAGGAAAAGGCUGUGAAGGGCCCUGAAGGUCACAUGUCACAUGUUGCCUGCAGCAUGCAGAAUCAAAACAUGAUAAAUCAUGUCUUGAAUCAUGACAUAUGAAGCAUGACACACGAAUCAUGACAUGUGACAUGUUGAAUGUCACAUGUCACAUGCCGUAGGCAGCCAUCAAGAGUAUUUGAAAGGAAAGUGUAUAAUCAGGCCUGUGCUUUAGUAAGACAA
rnacentral:lncRNA from 10 species